UAGGGAAUCUUCCACAAUGGACGCAAGUCUGAUGGAGCAACGCCGCGUGAGUGAAGAAGGUUUUCGGACCGUAAAGCUCUGUUGUUGGUGAAGAAGGAUAGAGGUAGUAACUGGCCUUUAUUUGANGGUAAUCAACCAGAAAAGUCACGGCUAACUACGUGCCAGCAGCCGCGGUAAUACGUAGGUGGCAAGCGUUGUCCGGAUUUAUUGGGCGUAAAAGCGAGCGCAGGCGGAAGAAUAAGUCUGAUGUGAAAGCCCUCGGCUUAACCGAGGA
rnacentral:rRNA from 1 species